rnacentral:rRNA from 1 species
UACGUAGGGUGCGAGCGUUAAUCGGAAUUACUGGGCGUAAAGUGUGCGCAGGCGGCCGCGCAAGUCGAGUGUGAAAGCCCCGAGCUUAACUUGGGAACUGCGCUCGAAACUAUGUGGCUGGAGUGUGGCAGAGGAAGGUGGAAUUCCAGGUGUAGCGGUGAAAUGCGUAGAGAUCUGGAGGAACACCGAUGGCGAAGGCAGCCUUCUGGGCCAACACUGACGCUCAUGCACGAAAGCGUGGGGAGCAAACAGG